UUUUGCAAUAGGUAGUGUUUUGUGAGUUCUUAGAAGACAGCAGGUGGUAGUGGAGAGAGUGAGUGUCUGUCUCGCUCCGAGUUAAGAUUCGAACCACGUUCUUAGGGUUUAUAGCUGCUCUGGAGACAAUAACGAUAUCCGCUAAAUAUACAGUUGGCCUAUAUACGCACAGUACACCUUUGAAGACCGUGAGAUGGUGCUGUGCGAUUUUGAUUAGCUGUUAACAAUAUGUAGAAAAUAGCAACAUACAACCCUCACCUUGGAAAUGCACCUGCAAAAGAAAAACAGUAGUCCCAGUAGACUUUGAAUGGGAUCUGCUGACUCUGGAAUUGCUGCCUCACUUAUAACACACUGGAUCUAUUGCCGAUGAGUCACAUCACCUGCUGUUCCAUCUCUGACUCAGGAAUCGCUGACUGCUUACUCUGCUUACACGCUGGAUCAGCUGCUGUCAGGCCUCACUGCACCGCUCAGUCUCUGACUCGGAAAACGCUGGAUUCUGGAACUCUGCUUUGCAGGCUUGCCUAUAACGGAAAGCUCUUUGUCUUAUUUGGUUUUUAAAAUGCUUUAUUCAAAUAGUAAAAUGUACACAAAAUAGCAAUCUUCAAUACAGGAAUCAAAAGGAUCCCUGGGUCUGACUCUAAGCAUCGAGCUCAGUACAACUUUCCAUUCACAUUUCCUGGGAUUAAAUACCCCUAGCUAAAACAAUGAACCAUCCUCUCCCUACACCGAAACCCUAACCUUAAAGUCAGUAUCAUAUACUGCAGACAUUACACAUCUAAAGUAGUUGAUGUUUGGCAGUGAAUAAGCGUUUUUGUUACUUUAAAAAAGUGACCGGUGGUGACAGCGUUAGAGAACAGCUGCGAUAAAGCACGAAAACGUGAUUUAAAAGUCGGGUCUCAUGUGUGGGCUAACGCACAUCGAAGGAUGCGCAGUCAAUCAAAGUACAGCGCGGCGACUAAGGUUACAACCAAUAAGGAUUCAAAAUUCCCUUUAAGAGCAUAUGUGCCUCUUCUAUAUCGAAGGAGGGCAUUUUGAAAACAAAAAAAAGGGCCGGACAAAAGCGUAAAUAAAUUAAAAAUGUCCAGCACCCCAAGUGAGUAUGAUGACCAAGCCCCUCAAGCAAGGCUACAUUUCUUUAGCAGUCUGGACAGGGAGAGUGAAUAGGUUACUUACCAAAUAAAAAAAGUAAUAUUUUAGGCUUUGUCUGACCUGCCUGGCACUAGCAGCAUCUGCAACAUCUACAACUCUCAAGCCCGUAAUCUUUUCUCUGUAAGUGCAACAUCACAUCCAUUACGGAGAGUUAUGUUGUGCAGAACACAAGAAGCCAGGAUGAUAUUGCCAAUCUUCUGAGGUGUGUACUCCCCCAGAGGUAUCCAAACAUCAGGACCGCAUUUUGAGGAUUCCAAAUGUUCACUCGGUUACACUAGGAGCACAUUUAAGGUGCAGUUAUACUUCUGUUCAGCAGUGAUCGUGGGGUUAAGCCGCAGUGUCUGUAGCUACCGCUUCAGUGUAUACCAGUUGUCAGCCUCUCACACUGUUGUCCCGCUGAAACGCAGCUGCCACCUGCGAAUUAGCCAGGAUAAACUAGACAUGAGCGGAGCCAGGAUGGUUUGCAUACACAUUUGUGAGGUAGCUGUUGGCAUCACAUACACAUCACGCACGUUGACAGACUAGGAUCCCUUACGAUUUAUAUAGAGGUGUCUAUUCUGUGUUGGUGCGCGUAGCUCCCAAGAAAACCCUGCUUUGUAUCAUUUCGCAACUCGUGAGAGACAGAGAAAUGGAUGAAUUAUCCUGCCCUUUACUAAAUCUGCAGGUAUACCGCACUGCACAUGUCUGCAGUAUACAAUAAAGCCUUAGUAAUUUGCGAGCCUUUUAUUAUGCGAAAUCAAAUUCCACUGAAUACAUAUUUCAUAAAUCGCAACAGGUAGCCAAUAUUUUUGGAGCAAAAUAGAUUUUAGGAGUGUGAUUCGCCAAAUAUUUUGGUCGCAAAUAUUUAUGUCUUGACAGUAGCCUAACCCUCAGUACGUUGGAACGAGCCAGUGGCAUAAAAUGUUAGUGCAGCGGGUCCCCUUAGUGCUACAGGCACAGUGUGCUCUCCACAUGUCUCCUUCCAGGUCAGCCUGAAGCAGUCGGCAGAUGUCAGUGAUUGUUUGUAUGUUGAGGCAGAAUUGCUGCAUACAUUGUGCGUCAGACGGGCUCAGAAAAGAGAGAUGACUUCACUAUUUCCUCCUUUCUCUUUGUCUGGUUAGUUAGAAAUCCAGUGCGCGCUCCAUAUUUAUUCUAUUUCUAUUUUUUUCCUCUUUUCAUUACCCGCUUCCCUGAUAAAUGCACCGGCAUUUAUAGUCGACCAUGUAAUUUGCGCACCGUUUAAAGCCGGUUUACACAUGGUAAUUGAAACGCAAACGCUAUAUUGAUGGUUUGCUACAUCUUUACAUUUGUAUAUAACGUUGAAUUGCCGGGUGAACACUAAAACACGUUUGCUAAAUCAGAUAGAUGGGCAAAGUUUGUUUGCCCACACGUGUCCUUGAUUUUGGUGCGCUAACUGUCCGAUUGCGAUUGCCUUAGUGAAUAACCUGCACUUUCCCUUUGCGCAGGUAUUCGCCAAUGUAUACGAUGAUUCCCUUUACUUGUGUAAUGUUUCCUAUUCAUUUUUCAGGCUGAAACUGUAACAAGCAGAUGCCUAUUCUAUUUGCUGCGGGCGCUUAAGUAAAAGUAUAUUGCCACUUUAUAUUGGGUUGAUAUAAUGGUGCUUGUUCUUACUUUUACAGUAGACAAUAAUGCAACUUUUUUUAAAAAAAAUAACAUUAAGUUUCUGCUGUGUACAAUGAGAGAAAAAUUGUAUUUUUACUUUUUAUGUGAAU